AUGAACAAGUCAUGAUUCUGAUGUAAUAAAUCAGAAGUCAGAUGCUCUUGUGGUUUGUGACAUCACGGGCACUCAAAGUGCUAUUUAUUAAGCUCCAUCAUGCACGGUCCAAGAUUAUUGCCAGUUCAGAAAUUAAAAUGUUUAGGAUUCUUUUCUUAUAGCCUUUCUUAGAUAGGGUGACCUAUUUGCAGCAAAUUUAAACCGAUACAAAGGCAGGACUGCUUGGGGCCACAGGCCAGCUUCACUUAGAUGACCUAAAACACCCAAUACAGAAAUAUUUGAAGAGCGCAAUGAGAAAAACACAGAAGGUGGAUGAGGAUAAGAUGAUGAGAAAGUAACAGAAAAUGAUCUGAAGAGACAAAAGGAUGGAAGAGUCAUCCCUACUAUGAUCUGUGAUCAGGUUUUCCAAGGACUGCAUAGGCAGGUAGCUUGAGACAGAAAAACUGGCAACCUGAAGAGACAACAUGGCUACAAAAAGGAGAGCAAACAGUACUGAAGAGACCAGGCAAGGUCCUGAUUGAACUGCUCUCCUUCCCGACACUUAGAUUGGAGCACACAAAUAAUCCAGCUGAAUCAUACUAUUCCCAGGACAAAUACAGUUUGCUGGACUGGGGCCACAGUUCUUAUCAUCUUCCGGAGUUAAGCUCACAGUGUUUCAAUUUUUACAUGUGUACUUGAGUGCUCAAGAUAGGAUCAUCACUCAUGAUCUAUCACUGUUUAGGAACCUCUACAUUUGACAUGGAAACCUCCUUUUUAAACAAAA